CUAAAAUUCUCCUUUCUUGAACCUGCAGUGCUGCUAAAUGUUCUUUGUAUGAGGUGUAAUCUGAUCCUUGCCUCGUGCACACUGCAGGAGUACAGUGUGGUGGUGAAUCUGGCAAUGUGACGUUUGAGGUAGGGAUUCGAGUCAGCGUAGAUGUUUGAAACCGAGCUGAGAUAUGCCUUUCGUAGACCUGCCAUGCUCUCAUACGUCCUUUGUAUACCGUGUGAUAUUAUUGUUGCCUCAUACACACUACAGCAAUUGAGUGGCAUAUCCCUGCAUACCAGAUACCGGAAAUAAAGAAAAGAUAUGACCAAGACUCGAAGCAGUGAACCUCGAGGACGAACCGAGUCUCGGAUUGGCCAGGCGGAGGUCCCACGCGCUGGCGUCACCACUUGAGGAUCGAGGCGUCGCGCGGUUACGUGGAGAUCUGAAUUGCGCGUUAAUCACCCCAGUAAUGGAACACCUGUGUUAUUAGUUUGUGUAGUGAUCGUUAAUUGUACGUGACAGUAGUGCAGACCAAGGAAGGUUUAAACUCUCUAGCUUCCAUGGUGCAGACUUUGCCGGGAGAAGCCAGCGGGCGUGGGUACUGAGCGCCGGCAGCGGGAGUGUGGUGCUGCAGGUCUGGUGUUCCUUGCCUGAUUUCCUCCGUGGCGGCGCCGGACAGCAGUAGGAGCGAGAUUUGCAUCAACAACCACCACCACCACCACCACCACCACCACCAGCAUGGCAGUAGUAGCAGGAGUAGUGAAUGGUCACACGUUUGUGGUGACCUCUUGGACUAUCAUGCCGCCCUUGUAGUGUGUUGGACUAUCGGUGAACAAGGAGACCUGAAAGUUACGUGGUACAACUAUUUCGGUGAUAGAAGUGGCUGAGUUGCCGAUCCAAAGGCCUGGCUUAAGAGUGAUCCCGAGCUACCUGUACCAUCAAGAUCAAGAUCGAGCGUCCAUUUCAGAUGGUGAGUCUGCUUACAAAAUUGCAUCGCGGGGAUUGAUAAAGACAGCCACAAUUAUCCAUCAUCAUCGGCGACACCAUGGCCCUUGAGAAGACUUCCUCUUCUCUCUUCCCAUCUCUUCCUCCUCCUAGCCCAACCAAGCCUAAUUCUCUCUCUCUCUCUCUCUCUCUCUCUCUCUCUCUCUCUCUCUCUCUCUCUCUCUCUCUCUCUCUCAGACAGACAGACCUCGAUGACAGCGUGGUGAGCGAGGAGGGGGAGUCAACCAGCAGAGUGGGGGAGCAUGACCCCUACUUUGAACCAGUGGUGACCUUGCUGGAGGUCUUCGUGGUUAGUGAUGAUGACCAGGAGGAGGAAAUGAUGAGACUGAGUUUCGAGGUCAGGUCAGGCAGUACAAGCUGUUUCAUUAUCACACCUCUGAGUCGCCCCCACAGUGGAAGGAACGGGGCAUGGAGGCCAUUAACAUUCUGAGGAACAAGCAGAAGAAGGCUGUGGAGUUUGUUCAGCGGCAGAAUUAAUGCCAGUGGCUGAGUUCAGAUCCUCCAAGACACACACACACACACACACACACACACACACACACACACACACACACACACACACACACACACACACACACACACACACACACACACACACACACACACACACACACACACACACACACACACACACACACACACAGCAGCCCCUCCACCUCCUCACAGCCCUCCACAGCCUCUGACGCAGCCCCUGACACAGCCCCUGACACAGCAUCUGACACAGCCCCUUCACAGACCACCACAUACCUCACACACACCACAGGAGUCUCACAAACAGUCUCACAGCCUUCACAAGCAGCCCCACACUCCACCACAGACACACCAGACCCACAGCCCUUCACCUCACCCAUUUCCCAGCUCCCCACAGCCCCUCAGCCACCACAAA